CAUCCCUCCACAAAGACUUGUCAUUUCAGAAUUGGAGGGUGUUGCCUUUUCUCGGCAUCAUUUUAAUACAAGUUUAUCAAAUAUCUGACACCCCAAGGCACUAACCAUACUGUAGAUGCAUGAGCUAGGACAGCAGAGAGGUGGUGGGGACAGAGAUAGGACAGAAGAGAGGUGGUGGGGACAGAGCUGGAUCCAGGGAGAGAUCCCCUGACUUCCUGGACUUAGACGGGGUCACCAGGUCCUUUAGUGCCACAUUAUCUGUGACAUUUGAACUUACUCAUGGUGAUACUUCUUUACCGCGAUAUUACUCCUCUCAUUCCAGUUCUAGGAAGUGGCCUGGAUAGGAGUUGCCACUGAAACACCAGAAGGGGGAAGCUUCAGAUAAUUUUAGAAGGUUUGGGCUUACUGAAGGCAAAAGGAAACAACUCAAGGAUUUUAAGCAGGAGAGUGAUUGGAUCAGCAUAGUGUUGGAAAUAAUAUAAGUAGCCAAUAUUUAUUAGUGCUUAUUAUAUACCAGACAUUGUACCAAAUGCUUCAUAUGGGUUAUCUUACUUAAUUUUAAAAGCAGCUCUGUGAAUAAGUACUCUGCGUUUUCUUCUCUUUACAGAUACUGAAAUAAAGACCUAGAGGAUCAUUUGGUCAACUUCUCACAGAUAAGAGGAGGAGAGAUGGGAUGCAACCCAGGUUCAUUGGAUCCAAGUCCAUUUCAGCCAUCACCCUAAGCCCAGAAUCAAAAAGAAGGAAAUUCAUAAGAAGUGGUGAUCCCUCUGUUCUUUUGAUGGUGGAGACCAAGUCUACUUUGAAACGGAGGAAGAGAAAUAGAGGACAUAAAGGAUUCUCCUACCACUCCUUCCUUUUUUGUGUGAGGAUGAUGGCUUUUAAUGCUUUGGAUUCAGCUUUCUGCAAAUGGCACACAAAUCUGAUGAAGGAGUGAACACAGCUGGUGUCAGAGGCUUGGAAGUGAAGGCCCUCAUUCACUCAGAGAGGACAAGAUGCUGACAGAUAAGGACAGAACAUACUGUUCCCACCCUCCUCAUUUUAUUACACAAAAAUGCAGCCCACAUUGUAUUGAGCUUUGCACAUUGCUUUCUCUGCUUAACUGGACAGCCUGAACACCUCUGUACAUUGGUACAGAAAAGGCACUCAUUUUGGUUUUUUUUUUUCACAGCUGCAUAGGAUUAAUUUUGUAAAUAUGCCAUGUUUUAUUUGGGUCCCAUCCAAACCCUGUCACAAUAAAUAGUCUUGUACACUUUCACUUACUAUGUGUGCAGAUGUAACUGUUGGGAAAAAGCCCAGAUAUGGGAUUUCCAGAUCCAACGGCAACUGAGCCCAUAAUUUAGGCAGAUAUCACCAGAUUCUCCUGCACAGGCCUGCAUCAUUUCCCCCUUCAUGAUAAAGGAAUGCCAUUUUUAUCUGUAUUUCUCAUAUUAAUUUGUAACCCAUUUAGCUACGAAUAUUUCUUUUUCUAUGAAAUGUCUUUUAUGUGCUUUGCCUGCUUUUUCAUUGGAUGAGAUUGGUGCAUCCAGGGUAGUAUGGCAUAGACUACCUGUUUUUCUAUUGGGUUCUUUCUAGUCUUCUUUAUUUCUGGAAGUGCCUUAGGAAUUUAUCGUUUAUUCAGGAGAGUGAUAUUUGUUACAUGAUUUGCAAUUUUUCUCCAGUUUAUCAUUUUGUCAUUUACCUUGCUUAUGGCAUAUUUGCUAUGUUAAUGGAUUAAAAAUACAUAUGUAAUUUAUCUUCUUUAAUUUCAUGAAAUUGACUUUCAGUCAUGUAAGGGACUUGCCUCCUCCAGGCUUAGCAAGGAAUUCAUAUAUUACCUUUUGCAAUUUUUAAAAACUUUUGUUUUUAAAUACUUGCUAUAACUGAAGGUUUAUCCUUAUGUAUAAUGUGAGGUACAGAUCUAAUUUUAUUUUAUCUUUUCUUUAUGUGGACAAUCAGUUCUUCUGUUAAUCUAAAGACCCAUCUUUAUUGAUAUAAAUGUCAUCUUUAUCAUAUACUAUAUUACUGAAUGUAUUUGUACUGAAAACUUAUGAAAUUUUCUUCUAAUCCACAGGUCUUUCUAUUUAUAUACCAGACAUGU